CGGCUUGCGUUUUGGCCGCAGGGGACUCAUAAUCCCUUGGUCGGUGGUUCGAAUCCACCUGGGCCCA
rnacentral:tRNA from 1 species